rnacentral:rRNA from 1 species
UACGGGGGGGGCAAGCGUUGUUCGGAAUUACUGGGCGUAAAGGGCUCGUAGGCGGCCAACUAAGUCGGACGUGAAAUCCCUCGGCUUAACCGGGGAACGGCGUCCGAUACUGGAUGGCUUGAGUUUGGGAGAGGGAUGCGGAAUUCCAGGUGUAGCGGUGAAAUGCGUAGAUAUCGGGAGGAACACCAGUGGCGAAGGCGACUACCUGGCCUGUUUCUUGACGCUGAGGCGCGAAAGCUAGGGGAGCAAACGGG